rnacentral:rRNA from 1 species
GGGCCUUGGCGGCUGCUAUACAUGCAGUCGAGCGGACAGAUGGGAGCUUGCUCCCUGAUGUUAGCGGCGGACGGGUGAGUAACACGUGGGUAACCUGCCUGUAAGACUGGGAUAACUCCGGGAAACCGGGGCUAAUACCGGAUGCUUGUUUGAACCGCAUGGUUCAGACAUAAAAGGUGGCUUCGGCUACCACUUACAGAUGGACCCGCGGCGCAUUAGCUAGUUGGUGAGGUAACGGCUCACCAAGGCAACGAUGCGUAGCCGACCUGAGAGGGUGAUCGGCCACACUGGGACUGAGACACGGCCCAGACUCCUACGGGAGGCAGCAGUAGGGAAUCUUCCGCAAUGGACGAAAGUCUGACGGAGCAACGCCGCGUGAGUGAUGAAGGUUUUCGGAUCGUAAAGCUCUGUUGUUAGGGAAGAACAAGUGCCGUUCAAAUAGGGCGGCACCUUGACGGUACCUAACCAGAAAGCCACGGCUAACUACGUGCCAGCAGCCGCGGUAAUACGUAGGUGGCAAGCGUUGUCCGGAAUUAUUGGGCGUAGAGGGCUCGCAGGCGGGUUUCUUAAGUCUGAUGUGAAAGCCCCCCGGCUCAACCGGGGAAGGGUCAUUGGAAACUGGGAACUUCGAUGCAAAAAAAGAGGUCGCAUCCCCACGCGUAACGGUUCAAAUGCUAAAGAU